AGUCUGCAACUCGACUACAUGAAGCUGGAAUCGCUAGUAAUCGCGAAUCAGAAUGUCGCGGUGAAUACGUUCCCGGGUCUUGUACACACCGCCCGUCACACCAUGGGAGUCAGUAACGCCCGAAGUCAGUGACCCAACCGAACAGGAGGGAGCUGCCGAAGGUGGGACCGAUAACUGGGGUGAAGUCGUAACAAGGUAAC
rnacentral:rRNA from 1 species